UACGGAGGAUGCAAGCGUUAUCCGGAAUGAUUGGGCGUAAAGCGUCCGCAGGUGGUUGUGUGUGUCUAUUGUCAAAGCAUCAUGCUUAACAUGAUAAAGGCAGUAGAAACUACACGACUAGAGUGCGUUCGGGGCAGAGGGAAUUCCUGGUGUAGCGGUGAAAUGCGUAGAGAUCAGGAAGAACACCGGUGGCGAAAGCGCUCUGCUAGGCCGCAACUGACACUGAGGGACGAAAGCUAGGGGAGCGAAUGGG
rnacentral:rRNA from 1 species